rnacentral:rRNA from 1 species
AAACUGGUCUGUGAUGCCCUUAGAUGUCCUGGGCCGCACGCGCGCUACACUGAUGCGUUCAUCGAGUUUAUCCUUGGCCGAGAGGCCCGGGUAAUCUUUAGUACGCAUCGUGAUGGGGAUCGAUUAUUGCAAUUAUUAAUCGUGAACGAGGAAUGCCUAGUAUGCGCAAGUCAUCAGCUUGUGCAGAUUACGUCCCUGCCCCUUUGUACCAAAAAUUCCCC